rnacentral:rRNA from 1 species
UACGUAGGGUCCGAGCGUUGUCCGGAAUUAUUGGGCGUAAAGGGCUCGUAGGCGGUCUGUUGCGUCGGGAGUGAAAACUUACAGCUUAACUGUGAGCGUGCUUUCGAUACGGGCAGACUUGAGGCAUUCAGGGGAGAACGGAAUUCCUGGUGUAGCGGUGAAAUGCGCAGAUAUCUGGAGGAACACCGGUGGCGAAGGCGGCAUCCUGGACCAACACUGACGCUGAGUGAGCGAAAGCCAGGGGAGCAAACGGG